UAGGGAAUCUUCGGCAAUGGGGGGAACCCUGACCGAGCAACGCCGCGUGAGUGAAGAAGGUUUUCGGAUCGUAAAGCUCUGUUGUUAAGGAAGAACGAGUGUGAGAAUGGAAAGUUCAUACUGUGACGGUACUUAACCAGAAAGGGACGGCUAACUACGUGCCAGCAGCCGCGGUAAUACGUAGGGGGCUAGCGUUGUCCGGAAUCACUGGGCGUAAAGGGUUCGCAGGCGGAAUAACAAGUCAGAUGUGAAAGGCAUGGGCUCAACCCAUGUAAGCAUUUGAAACUGUAAUUCUUGAGAAGUGGAGAGGUAAGUGGAAUUCCUAGUGUAGCGGUGAAAUGCGUAGAUAUUAGGAGGAAUACCUGUGGCGAAGGCGACUUACUGGACACAAAUCUGACGCUGAGGAACGAAAGCGUGGGUAGCAAACAGG
rnacentral:rRNA from 1 species